CCUACGGGUGGCAGCAGUGAGGAAUAUUGGUCAAUGGGCGUACGCCUGAACCAGCCAAGUCGCGUGAGGGAAGACUGCCCUAUGGGUUGUAAACCGCGUUUGUCAGGGAGCAAGUGGCGCUACGUGUAGCGUUAUCGAGAGGACCUGAAGAAAAAGCAGCGGCUAACGCCGUGCCAGCAGCCGCGGAAAGAAGGAGGAUGCGAGCGUUAGCUGGAUUGAUUGGGUUGAAAGGGUGCGUAGGCGGAAUGCCAAGUCCGCGGUAAAAUCGCGGGGAUCAACCUCGCUCCGCCUUUGAAACUGGCGUUCUUGAGUGGGCGAGACGUAUGCGGAAUGCGUGGUGUAGCUGUGAAAUGCCUAGAUAUCACGCAGAACUCCGAUUGCGAAGGCAGCAUACCGGCGCCCAACUGACGCUGACGCACGAAAGCGUGGGUAUCGAACAGGAUUAGAUACCCGGGUAGUC
rnacentral:rRNA from 1 species